GAUGAACGCUGGCGGCGUGCUUAACACAUGCAAGUCGAACGAUGAAGCCCAGCUUGCUGGGUGGAUUAGUGGCGAACGGGUGAGUAACACGUGAGUAACCUGCCCUUGACUCUGGGAUAAGCCUGGGAAACUGGGUCUAAUACUGGAUAUGACUUCUCAUCGCAUGGUGGGGGGUGGAAAGAUUUAUUGGUCUUGGAUGGACUCGCGGCCUAUCAGCUUGUUGGUGAGGUAAUGGCUCACCAAGGCGACGACGGGUAGCCGGCCUGAGAGGGUGACCGGCCACACUGGGACUGAGACACGGCCCAGACUCCUACGGGAGGCAGCAGUGGGGAAUAUUGCACAAUGGGCGCAAGCCUGAUGCAGCGACGCCGCGUGAGGGAUGACGGCCUUCGGGUUGUAAACCUCUUUCAGUAGGGAAGAAGCGAGAGUGACGGUACCUGCAGAAGAAGCGCCGGCUAACUACGUGCCAGCAGCCGCGGUAAUACCUAGGGCGCGAGCGUUAUCCGGAAUUAUUGGGCGUAAAGAGCUCGUAGCGGUUUGUCGCGUCUGCCGUGAAAGUCCGGGGCUUAACUCCGGAUCUGCGGUGGGUACGGGCAGACUAGAGUGCAGUAGGGGAGACUGGAAUUCCUGGUGUAGCGGUGAAAUGCGCAGAUAUCAGGAGGAACACCGAUGGCGAAGGCAGGUCUCUGGGCUGUAACUGACGCUGAGGAGCGAAAGCAUGGGGAGCGAACAGGAUUAGAUACCCUGGUAGUCCAUGCCGUAAACGUUGGGCACUAGGUGUGGGGGACAUUCCACGUUUUCCGCGCCGUAGCUAACGCAUUAAGUGCCCCGCCUGGGGAGUACGGCCGCAAGGCUAAAACUCAAAGGAAUUGACGGGGGCCCACACAAGCGGCGGAGCAUGCGGAUUAAUUCGAUGCAACGCGAAGAACCUUACCAAGGCUUGACAUGUUCCUGAUCGCCGUAGAGAUACGGUUUCCCCUUUGGGGCAGGUUCACAGGUGGUGCAUGGUUGUCGUCAGCUCGUGUCGUGAGAUGUUGGGUUAAGUCCCGCAACGAGCGCAACCCUCGUUCCAUGUUGCCAGCACUUCGGGUGGGGACUCAUGGGAGACUGCCGGGGUCAACUCGGAGGAAGGUGGGGACGACGUCAAAUCAUCAUGCCCCUUAUGUCUUGGGCUUCACGCAUGCUACAAUGGCCGGUACAAUGGGUUGCGAUACUGUGAGGUGGAGCUAAUCCCAAAAAGCCGGUCUCAGUUCGGAUUGGGGUCUGCAACUCGACCCCAUGAAGUCGGAGUCGCUAGUAAUCGCAGAUCAGCAACGCUGCGGUGAAUACGUUCCCGGGCCU
rnacentral:rRNA from 1 species